rnacentral:rRNA from 1 species
GAUGAACGCUGACGGCGUGCCUAAUACAUGCAAGUCGAGCGAACGGACGAGAAGCUUGCUUCUCUGAUGUUAGCGGCGGACGGGUGAGUAACACGUGGAUAACCUACCUAUAAGACUGGGAUAACUUCGGGAAACCGGAGCUAAUACCGGAUAAUAUUUUGAACCGCAUGGUUCAAAAGUGAAAGACGGUCUUGCUGUCACUUAUAGAUGGAUCCGCGCUGCAUUAGCUAGUUGGUAAGGUAACGGCUUACCAAGGCAACGAUGCAUAGCCGACCUGAGAGGGUGAACGGCCACACUGGAACUGAGACGCGGUCCAGACUCCUACGGGCGGCAGCAGUAGGGAAGCUUCCGCAAAGGGCGAAAGCCUGACGGAGCAACGCCGCGUGGGUGAUGAAGGUCUUCGGAUCGUAAAACUCUGUUAUUAGGGAAGAACAUAUGUGUAAGUAACUGUGCACAUCUUGACGGUACCUAAUCAGAAAGCCACGGCUAACUACGUG